rnacentral:rRNA from 1 species
GCACGAGAAAGGGUAGCAAUACCUGAGUACAGUGGCGCACGGGUGAGUAACACGUGAAUUAUCUACCUCCGAGUGGGGAAUAACUGAGAGAAAUCUUAGCUAAUACCGCAUAACACUUACGAGUCAAAGCAGCAAUGCGCUUGGAGAGGAGUUCGCGGCCGAUUAGUUAGUUGGCGGGGUAAUGGCCCACCAAGACGAUGAUCGGUAUCCGGCCUGAGAGGGCGCACGGACACACUGGAACUGAAACACGGUCCAGACUCCUACGGGAGGCAGCAGUGGGGAAUUUUGCGCAAUGGGGGAAACCCUGACGCAGCAACGCCGCGUGGAGGAUGAAAUCCCUUGGGAUGUAAACUCCUUUCGAUCGGGACGAUUAUGACGGUACCGGAAGAAGAAGCCCCGGCUAACUUCGUGCCAGCAGCCGCGGUAAUACGAGGGGGGCGAGCGUUGUUCGGAAUUAUUGGGCGUAAAGGGUGCGUAGGCGGUUUGAUAAGUCUUGUGUGAAAUCUCUGGGCUCAACCCAGAGUUUGCACAGGAAACUGUCGGGCUUGAGUAUGGGAGAGGUGAGUGGAAUUUCCGGUGUAGCGGUGAAAUGCGUAGAUAUCGGAAGGAACACCUGUGGCGAAAGCGGCUCACUGGACCAUUACUGACGCUGAUGCACGAAAGCUAGGGGA